rnacentral:rRNA from 1 species
CCCUUAGAUGCUCUGGGCCGCACGCGCGCUACACUGGUCGAUGCAACGAGUUUCUUUCCUUGGCCGACAGGCCUGGGCAAUCUUUGAACAUCGAUCGUGAUCGGGAUAGAUUCUUGUAAUUUUUGAUCUUAAACGAGGAAUUCCUAGUAAACGCAAGUCAUCAGCUUGCAUUGAUUACGUCCCUGCCCUUUGUACACACCGCCCGUCGCUCCUACCGAUUGGGUGCUCCGGUGAAUUGUUUGGACUGCUGUCAGUCUUUUAGGCUGUCGGCGAGAAGCUCUGUGAACCUUAGCACCUAGAGGAAGGAGAAGUCGUAACA